CAGCCAACCACCAACCUCACCACCAAACUAUCUUGAGAGUCUCUUAAUUAAUUUAAAUUCUCUUUUAGAGUGCAGAAGGAAGAGAUCAGAUUGCAGUGAAAACAUUCAUAUUUUUCAUGUGUCCCUCUCUGUGCUGGGUAUGGACGGGCUGACUAAUGGGGAUGGCCCCUACUCUGCGGGAGUGAGAAGCAUCUACUCAGUUGGGAACAACUGCCAGGGCUCUGGUCUGGGCAACUAGGUGAGUGGUGGCCACAUCCAACAACUUCUUCCUUCUUCUAUGUCCAGCAAUUUGCACUGUUCUCUCAUUGACUGUCUCCCCUCCAGCAUCGCUCAACCGGGAAAACAACAAUAAUAAAGGCUGCCAUUCACUGAGCACCUACUCUGCACCAGGCACUUCAUUCAUUCCAGGAACUGACGUUUAUUGAGGAUCAUCUAUAUGCCAGGCAGUGUUGUAGGAUCUGAGGAUGCACCAGUGCACUAAGCAAUCUAAAAUCUGCCCUUGUGGAGUUUAUAUUCUUGUGGGGGAGACAGCAAUAAGCAAUGAAUUUAAUAAAUCAACAAAUGAGGCAGUGUGGUAUGUGUUAUUAGAAAAGUAGUGAAGGAAAGGAGGUCUGGCAGUCCUAAUCACUGGGUAUGCAGGUUUAAAUGGGUGUUCAGGGUCAGCCUCAUUGAGAAGGAGACAUUUGAGCAGAUACUUGAAGAUGGUGAGGGACCAGGACACAGGGAUAUCUAGAGGAACAAAGCUACAGGCAUUGGGAAGAACCCUGCACUCCUCUGAGGAGGGGGUGGGUGUGAUGUGAAUUCCAGAACACAUUGGGCAUUGGAGUUACAAUGCUGAAAUCACACUCCCAUGGGCUUGGGAGAGACGGACAAUUCUACAAACAAUUACAACAAACUUGCAAGUACUACCUGGUUUAGAGGGAAUGAAGGGGAUUUUGUCAGCAUUUAUUUGCCUUUUUAAGGAAGUCAGAGGAGCUUGCCUGAGGUGCCAGGAACCUCAGAACAGAAGGAAUAGGAGAAGUUAACUAGGAUCGGAGGGAAGAGUUUUCUAGACAGUGUGAGUGCCAUUAGGAAGUGCAUCUCAGGAAUCUGAGGGCAGGGAAUUUAAUUGUCUGAGGGCACCAGCUGCUGCAUUCUGAAAUCCAUCUCCACAUUUUUACUAGACUACACGUCCCACAGGCUGCUCUCAGCCUAUAACUGAAUGUGACAGAAAUAGUAAGGCAGGACUGUUCCUGGGAGGCUGAUUUUGUUUCUGUUCCA